GGCGGGGGCGGGCUGGUGGAGCGGCUCUGUCACCUGGUCGUUGGCUUUAACCUAGUUUUACUUUUUUCUCUCCAUCUAUCACCUCAUGAGGCGCCCCACUCUUAGUCUGUCCAUUUGGACUCGUCAGCCAGGCUUCCCCUGGCAACCUACAAGUGGGGGGCAGGAGGAAAUGCUCUGUGAACACACAGGCCUGUUUCGGCACAGAUGUCAGGAAUGCGGAGCCAGUAAAUCUGCCCAGGCAGUUCUGUUCCUGAAUCAUUAAGAACAACCGAGUGGGUGGAACAAGAACAUGAAAUUGCUGUGUGCACUCAUGUUUUGUUUAUGGAGCAAUCACUUCUAGACGUGUUUUCUUCUUUUAUGAAGAAUCCUCUCCGUGUUUGCCUGCUGACACCCUCCUUCCUUCCCCUCCUCGGCUCUCCCACCCCCACUACAAAGAAGCAUCGAGCAUCGCAAAAACCUUAAAUCACAGAUUUGAAGAAUAGGAUACACUAAGUGCCUCUCUACGCGAAUCUCACUUAUUGUCAAAAUACAACAUUUAGUAAUGAAUAACACGGAUAACAAUUGCAUUUGAACGUUGUGUAUUGUUUAGAAAGCUCGUGAUAACUGCCGCUGAGUCAAAAAUGACGUCUUUUCCCGUCCUCGUG
rnacentral:lncRNA from 1 species